rnacentral:rRNA from 1 species
GAUGAACGCUGGCGGCAGGCCUAACACAUGCAAGUCGAACGGAAGAAGCGGGCUUGCUCCUGGCUUGAGCGGCGGGGGGGUGAGAAAUGCCUAGGAAUCUGCCUGGGAGUGGGGGAUCACGUCCGGAAACGGGCUCUAAUACCGCAUGCUGCCUGAGGGAAAAAGGGGGGGGUCUUCGGACCUGCCCCUCUCUGAUGAGCCUAGGUGGGAGUAGCUAGCUGGUGGGGGCAAGGCCUACCAAGGGGGCGAGCCGUAACUGGUCUGAGAGGAUGAUCGGUCACACUGGAAGUGAGACAUCGGCCAGACUCCUACGGGAGGCAGCAGUGGGGAAUAUUGGACAAUGGGCGAAAGCCUGAUCCAGCAAUGCCGCGUGGGUGAAGAAGGCCUUCGGGUGGUAAAGCACUUUAAGUUGGGAUGAAGGGCAGUAAGUUAAUACCUUGCUGUUUUGACGGUACCAGGAGAAUAAGCACCGGCUAACUUCGUG